AUAGAAACUGUUAAAGUUCUCAGUUGAUGUCAGUUUUUUUACAAUUGAAUUUAUUGAUAAAGCACGAGUUCACCCUUCAUAGGGUAAGGACGUGUGUAGUCAGCGCUGCCCGCUCACGUGGCUGUGGUCUCUUGACCAAGGAGACAUCUGCCAGCCUGGUUUGUCGGGCCCUUCUCCAUCUCCUCCCCAUCUGGAUUUAUCAACAUCCUCCCACCAACAGUACAGUGCAAAGAUUGACGAUCAACCCACAACUGAUAUACAAAAGUGACAAUUUCAACUUGAAAGGAAGAAACAACUGUUAGAGAGACGAUCAGUACUUAGCUGUCAAUGUUGACUUGACGCACCCAGCCUGCGAUACACUCGCCACCCCCAACACUGGAUGAGAAGCCAAGAAACACAACUACACCAGGAGAGAAAUGAGGACUCCCUACCCCACCCAGAGUGGAAUGGACACAAGGGAGUCUCAGUGAGGUGAUACUAACCGAAAGAUCUCCAGAUUCCUCACGGGCGCGGGCCUCUUCAAGCAGGGAAUCUGCUGCCAGGCAGAGGGUCUCACAGUUACCGCCAGUCUCACUCUCCGUGAACAUCCAAAGAAAACGGGCGACUAUGGAGGUGUGAACAUCUCAGCGGAGUUAUCCUUAGCUCAUCCCAGAACUCUUAGAAAACGGCGGGAGUGAGGUGUGGUCUACCCGUGGACUCCAGAAGUCUGGGGAUCUCGUGCGAGGCUAGACGCAGCAACAUCGUUCAUCCAGCUUUUGUUGUGCGUAACCCCACGGCCUCCUGAGACGCGCCGCCGCCUUAUGCACAAGAGACGUUGGAGCUAAUAUUCCGUGGAGUAGAGGCCAGCCCCAUCCCUCCACGGAGCGGGCAACCGACACCCUUACGGGGUGCUGACGGUGGGCGGGACAAGGUGAGGCGACGCUACAGUAAUUGUCACCUGCACGAGACAGACAGAGAGACAGAUGGUCGCCGCCCAGCAAACACGACGCCACACCCCCCCAUCUGACGACAGCCAAGCCUAAGAUGUAUGGGCGUGUUGAGACUCGCCCACUCUCUCACUGUUACCAAAACGACACCAGAGGAGACCUAGGCCGUAGUGAGGUGUGUGUGUGUAUGUAAUAAUAAUGUGUGGGGGGCUAAGAGGGUCAUUGUCAGGGCCUCUUCCCUCUCCACACCAGUGAUCCCAGUAACACGCCUCUCAUCGUGGCUGGAGGUGAUGAACAUGUGGGGCAGAUAACAGGUCUGGCAUCGUGGGAGUGUGGUGGUGGUGCCCAGGGCGGUGUGGCUGGAGGGUGGGAGAGAGCGGGAGUAACAUUGUGGUUCUCAUAUACAAAUUGCACAACUCAUCCUCCUCAUACCAACAUUACUACGCCGCCGACAGCAAAACACACACACACACACACUAACUUUCUCACUAAUUAAAUUGCUCGGUGAGAACGCUACUUGUUAUUGCGUCCCAGACCUGCAGCCCUCCUAGCCCAUUUCCUUGCUCUGCUUCACUACAAAAACGAAAACUUUGUCAACACUAACUCAGGAACAACACUGCUGUCUGUAGUUUAUGUACUGAACGUUAUGUAUAUAUAUAUAUACUGUACUCGGAUCAAAUAAAGUUUUACAAUA
rnacentral:lncRNA from 1 species